rnacentral:rRNA from 1 species
AUUGAACGCUGGCGGCAUGCCUUACACAUGCAAGUCGAACGGUAACAGAUCUUCGGAUGCUGACGAGUGGCGAACGGGUAAGUCAUACAUCGGAACGUGCCUAGUAGUGGGGGAUAACUACUCGAAAGAGUGGCUAAUACCGCAUGAGAUCUACGGAUGAAAGCAGGGGAUCGCAAGCCCUUGUGCUACUAGAGCGGCCGAUGGCAGAUUAGGUAGUUGGUGGGAUAAAAGCUUACCAAGCCGACGAUCUGUAGCUGGUCUGAGAGGACGAUCAGCCACACUGGGACUGAGACACGGCCCAGACUCCUACGGGAGGCAGCAGUGGGGAAUUUUGGACAAUGGGCGCAAGCCUGAUCCAGCAAUGCCGCGUGCAGGAUGAAGGCCUUCGGGUUGUAAACUGCUUUUGUACGGAACGAAAAGCCCUGGGUUAAUACCCUGGGGUCAUGACGGUACCGUAAGAAUAAGCACCGGCUAACUACGUGCCAGCCGCCGCCGUAAUAC